GGAGCUUGCUUCUAAUGAGAGUGGCGCACGGGUGCGUAACACGUAUGUAACCUACCUCAGUCAGGGGGAUAGCCUCUCGAAAGAGAGAUUAAGACCGCAUAACAUUGUUUUAUGGCAUCAUAGGACAAUCAAAUAUUUAUAGGACUGAGACGGGCAUGCGGAACAUUAGCUAGUUGGUAAGGUAACGGCUUACCAAGGCUACGAUGUUUAGGGGAUCUGAGAGGAUGGCCCCCCACACUGGUACUGAGACACGGACCAGACUCCUACGGGAGGCAGCAGUAAGGAAUAUUGGUCAAUGGGCGCAAGCCUGAACCAGCCAUGCCGCGUGCAGGAAGACGGCCCUACGGGUUGUAAACUGCUUUUGCAGGGGAAUAAACCCCCGUACGUGCUACGGGGCUGAAUGUACUCUGAGAAUAAGGAUCGGCUAACUCCGUGCCAGCAGCCGCGGUAAUACGGAGGAUCCAAGCGUUAUCCGGAUUUAUUGGGUUUAAAGGGUGCGUAGGUGGCCUGUUAAGUCAGGGGUGAAAGACGGUAGCUUAACUAUCGCAGUGCCCUUGAUACUGACGGGCUUGAAUGAACUAGAGGUAGGCGGAAUGUGACAAGUAGCGGUGAAAUGCAUAGAUAUGUCACAGAACACCAAUUGCGAAGGCAGCUUACUAUGGUUUUAUUGACACUGAGGCACGAAAGCGUGGGGAUCAAACAGGAUUAGAUACCCUGGUAGUCCACGCCCUAAACGAUGAAUACUCGAUGUUGGCGAUAUAUGGUCAGCGUCUAAGCGAAAGCGUUAAGUAUUCCACCUGGGGAGUACGCCCGCAAGGGUG
rnacentral:rRNA from 1 species